rnacentral:rRNA from 1 species
AUAACCGGGGGCUUCGGCAACAACUUACAUAUGGACCCGCGGCUCAUUAGCUAAUUGGUGAGGUAACGGAUCACCUGUGCCACGAUUCAUAGCCUAACUGAGAGGGUGAUCAGCCACACUGGGACUGAAACCCGGCCCAAACUCCCACGGGAGGAAACUGUACGGAAUCUUCCACAAUGGACCAAACUCUGACGGAGCAACACCACGUGAUUGAUGAAGGUUUUCGGAUCGUAAAACUCUGUUGUUAGGGAAAAACAAAUGCCCUUCUACUAGGCCGGCACCUUGACAGUACCUAACCCGAAAGCUACGGCUAACUACGUGCCAGCACCCACGGUAAUACGUAGGUGGCAAGCGUUGUCCGGAAUUAUUGGGCUUAAAGGGCUCGCAAGCGGUUUCUUAAGUCUGAUGUGAAAAGCCCCGCGGCUCCACCGGGAAGGGUCAUUGUAAACUGCGUGAACUUGAGUGCCAAAGAGGAGAGUGUUUUUCCCCAUGUACCGGUGAAAUGCGUAGAAAUGUGAAGGAACACCAAUGACUCAGGCGACACUCUGGUCUGUAAGUGGAGCUGAAGAGCGAAGCGUGCGGAGCAAUCACCACUACAUACUCUCGUUAUCAAGACGGANCCAUGAGUGCUAGUGUUCGUGGGUUUCUCCCCUUAUUGCUGCAACUAAAGGAAUAAUCAAUCCGCCUCGGCGAGUCUGUCUCACACUGAAAC